rnacentral:rRNA from 1 species
UACGUAGGGAGCAAGCGUUGUCCGGAAUCAUUGGGCGUAAAGCGCGCGUAGGUGGCCUUGUAAGUCCGUUGUGAAAGUCAAAGGCUCAACCUUUGAAAGCCGGUGGAUACUGCAGGGCUAGAGUACGGAAGAGGCGAGUGGAAUUCCUGGUGUAGCGGUGGAAUGCGCAGAUAUCAGGAGGAACACCAAUAGCGAAGGCAGCUCGCUGGGACGUUACUGACGCUGAGGCGCGAAAGCGUGGGGAGCGAACAGG